UAGGGAAUCUNUCGGCAAUGGACGGAAGUCUGACCGAGCAACGCCGCGUGAGUGAAGAAGGUUUUCGGAUCGUAAAGCUCUGUUGUAAGAGAAGAACGAGUGUGAGAGUGGAAAGUUCACACUGUGACGGUAUCUUACCAGAAAGGGACGGCUAACUACGUGCCAGCAGCCGCGGUAAUACGUAGGUCCCGAGCGUUGUCCGGAUUUAUUGGGCGUAAAGCGAGCGCAGGCGGUUAGAUAAGUCUGAAGUUAAAGGCUGUGGCUUAACCAUAGUACGCUUUGGAAACUGUUUAACUUGAGUGCAAGAGGGGAGAGUGGAAUUCCAUGUGUAGCGGUGAAAUGCGUAGAUAUAUGGAGGAACACCGGUGGCGAAAGCGGCUCUCUGGCUUGUAACUGACGCUGAGGCUCGAAAGCGUGGGGAGCAAACAGGAUUAGAUACCCUGGUAGUCCACGCCGUAAACGAUGAGUGCUAGGUGUUAGACCCUUUCCGGGGUUUAGUGCCGCAGCUAACGCAUUAAGCACUCCGCCUGGGGAGUACGACCGCAAGGUUG
rnacentral:rRNA from 1 species